rnacentral:rRNA from 1 species
GACGAACGCUGGCGGCGUGCUUAACACAUGCAAGUCGAACGGUGAUGCUCCAGCUUGCUGGAGUGGAUCAGUGGCGAACGGGUGAGUAACACGUGAGCAACCUGCCCCAGACUCUGGAAUAAGCGCUGGAAACGGCGUCUAAUACUGGAUACGAAACUGGCCCGCAUGGGCAUGGUUUGGAAAGUUUUUCGGUUUGGGAUGGGCUCGCGGCCUAUCAGCUUGUUGGUGAGGUAAUGGCUCACCAAGGCGACGACGGGUAGCCGGCCUGAGAGGGCGACCGGCCAAAAUGGGACUGAGACACGGCCCAGACUCCUACGGGAGGCAGCAGUGGGGAAUAUUGCACAAUGGGCGAAAGCCUGAUGCAGCGACGCCGCGUGAGGGAUGACGGCCUUCGGGUUGUAAACCUCUUUCAGCAGGGAAGAAGCGAAAGUGACGGUACCUGCAGAAGAAGCACCGGCUAACUACGUG